AGACAGAUGUGGUUUGAGUCAUUGCAUCAGUCUCAUCACUUCAUCAGUAUGUGUUUACACCAUUCUACACGAACUUUGAUUCUUCGAAAAGGCAACGACCAUCCAAGUCUAUACACCCGACGACUCCAUUCCUUUUUAUUAUAUCAUUCAAAAUCCUUUCAUCAUUCAGAAAUACACAACACUCAUGCACAAGACAAGAUCACCACGCCACGACUAAGAAUUUCUGAUUUUGAUUUGUGAGUUCCUUAGAAUUUCCUGCAAAUUUUCGUGAGGGUAUAUGAUGGUGGUGGGUAGUAGGCUAGUCUUUGCAAUAUUCCUUGGGAAUUGUCUCUGUUUGCUGCUACUGCGUACCUUGAUCGAUGCAAAUCAGGCCGACGUAGAUUGCUUGAGGACCUUUAAAUCUCAAGUAGAGGAUCCAAAUAGCUAUUUAUCGAGUUGGGUUUUUGGCAACGAGGCUUAUGGUUAUAUCUGUAAGUUUAGUGGUGUGACUUGUUGGCAUGAUGAUGAGAAUAGGGUUUUGAGUAUUAAGCUCUCUGGUUAUGGUCUUAGAGGAGUGUUUCCUCUUGGGAUUAAGCAAUGUUCUGAUUUGGUAGGUUUAGAUAUUUCUAGAAACAACUUCUCUGGACCUUUACCAUCAAACCUUACAGAUGUGAUUCCACUUGUUACAACUUUGGACCUCUCCUUCAAUAGUUUCACUGGUGGAAUCCCUGUCAAUAUCGCAAACAUUACCUUUUUGAACUCUCUUAUGCUUCAGAAUAACCAGUUCACGGGUCAGCUACCUCCCGAGCUAGUGAAACUUGGACGGCUCAAAACGUUCUCUGUGGCUAACAAUCGUCUCUCAGGUCCUAUCCCAACGUUCAAAAGCACCAGCAUUAACUCAGAGAAUUUUGCUAAUAACACGGGUUUGUGUGGUAAGCCUCUGGAUGAAUGUAAGACUGCUUCUAGAGGUAAAGUUGUUAUUAUAGCGGCACUAGGUGGAUUUACUGUGGCAGCAUUUGUCGUUGGGAUUAUUUUGGGAUUGUUUUGUUCUUCUAUUUCUGUAGAGCGGCUAUUGUUCAAAAGAAGCUGAUAAGGCGAUAAAUGCUCAAUGACAUCCACCACUGUUUUGCUCCAAACCAUUACAAAUUUCCAAAAAUUGUUUAAAAGAUAAGUUGUCUAUCUCUAACCAAAAAUUGGUGAUAUUCAAACCCAUGUCCUUGAGAUUUUGUAAUUUGCAGCUUUUAGAGCAUCUCCAAUGGAUGUUUUAUUGGGCUCUCACAUCAGGUUCUCUUGAAAAAAAUCUUCAAAAAUAAAUCAAAACUAAGAGAGACAUCUCUCUUGAGAGAAAUCUUGAGUUGUAUGAGAGUCGAUGACGUGGCGUGUUCUCAACCUUCGAUUUUUUUUGAUAAAAAAAAAAAACGCGUACGUGUCAACAUUGGGUGACGAUUUUUAACAAAAUAUAAAAAAACAUUGGGUGUUGUAAUUGUUGUUUAUAAAAUGAUUAUAUGUAUUAAAUAAAAAAGUUUAAAUUUGAGGGACUAAAGUAUAAACUAAAAAAGUUGAACUCAAAAAUAGAGUUGAGAAUAGAGUUGCUCUAUAUAUAGAGUUAAUAUGCAGAAAUCUCUAUUUUAGAGUCAAUUAUAGAGUAGGGUUGGAGAAGAAUUUUGCAUUUUUACUAUAAGUAGGGUUGGAGAUGCCCUUAGCGGCGAUGGCGACAGAACAUGGGUUUCUCCAAUGGUAUGAUUGUUGAAAAUCUGAUUGUUGUUCGAGUGUAGGUAGUUUAUUAGGGAAGAUGCAAGGAUGUGGUAGAGCAUUUUCGGUGGUGGUAUGUUUCAGUCCAACUUCUUUGGUCCAUGGAUCUUUUUGUAGUUUAUGCUCGCUGAAAGAAGCUCGUCUCUCUACCUUAUAUAUGGAUCAUUCCCAAAGCUUUGAUGCCAAUUGAGGUAUGCAUCGUCUUCUAGAAGCUCGUUUUUUUCUUCUUCCGGAAGUAGUAAACUUGGAUGGAGUUUUGAAGUUUGUCUAAUGAUGAAUCAUGUGUCUGAAGGUAUUCAUUAUUUUGCACUACUACCUCUUGGUUCUUGCAUGCGUUUGUAUAUCAGGAACCUAUAUUAGGAUUUGAUCUAAUUGCUUAAUAGAACAAUUGCAUUUGCUUGCUUGAGGAAGCCUAUCUAGGAACAAGAGUAACCAUGUGGAAUUUGAGCAAGACUUACUUUCUUGAGUCUUGAGUCUUGAAUCAUGAAACCAAGAUUGUUGUUUGCUAAUCUGAUCUAGUUUGAAUCUUAAAUCGUGUGUAUUAAGCUUUGUUUCUUGAUAAACAACUAAUGGAUUCCCUUCAUGUUAUUGUGAUGGAAGCUUUAUGUGCAUA